AAAUAUGGACGCAGUCUCCAUGACGUCACCCAUAGGUUUCUGAUCGUCAAAAUGAAGCUCAAAGUGGGCAGCUCCCAGUGGCUCUGGCCGUCGCCUGGCGUCUACGGGGAUUGACUUGCUUUUGGAGCCAGGUUGAAGUGGCCAUUCGAGGAACUGCAGUUUUU